AUUCUCAUCUGACUGCAGUUUUGCCAGGGUUCCUUUUUGGUACAUUUUGUUUUAAAUGUUGCCUUGAUGUCAAGGGCAGACCCUUUUCUACGCUUUAUCAAAAGCAAGAAAUACAUGUCCGAGUAAUGAAUUCACUGAUUGGAACAGUGACCUAAAUGAGUGUAGAGAGAAGGGACAUCUCAUGAACAAAUGCAACAAUGAAUGUCAGACAAUAAACUAAGAUGAGUGUCAACUGGAGCAACUGUGGAAAUGGAUCUGAAACCCAGGACUGUCAAAAGAUUUAAUGUGCAAAAUAACUUUUUAUCCAAUAUUACAAGUUCAGAAAAUGUAAAUAAUAUUCUCUUAUCCUUAAUGAGAUUAAAACUGCUUGACAAGAAACUAGUUUAUUGCACUGAAUCACUUUUUAUCAAUUUUUUGUUCUGUUCCCUCCAAGUUAUGAAUUUAUUGUUGGGCUAGUAUGAGGGUGCUGAUGCAAGAAGUUGUUAUCCACAUGUGGAUAAUGCUCCUGUAAAGUGGUUUGGAAUAACUUAUUACAUUAAAGGGUUAUAUAAAUAGAA